CCUGGAGAGGAGAACGUUUAUUAACAGAAACAGCCAUUUCCAUCAGUUUCUGUCCCCCAUGUUCCAUUUACAAUUUCCUCUCUCCGAUAUCACGUUACCAAAUUACCUCCAUGGCCUUUACACUGUUUCACAGGGCUCAGAGUCAGCGGAUGAGCAGAACAUGCAGUUGUAGAGUGAAGAAACAAAAUCGUAAAAGCAUUCCAAGUAGCCAUAAACUGCCUUUCAGCGUGAGCCUGAGCUGGGAGCGCGGGGGAGGGCCAUCGCUGCUGUUGCGCAAUAGUGGAGCGGGUUGAUGACGGGCAGAGAACAGGAAGUCAGGUAGGGUGUGUGGUUUAAACAGGGACGGGCUGACGAAAAAGGACAAGUGGAAAGAAGGAGGACUUGAAGGCAGCGCAUAGCCCGGAGAUUUCUGGAAAUCGCCAGACCUCUUGUGGGAAACUUUACGGCUGACUGUAUCAGUCUGUUGGGUGAAACACAUCGGGCCUCCAUUCGAUCGAAUACUAGUUUCACUUUUUUUUGUUAAUAAUAAACCUCCUUUGAUUUUAAUACAACCAUCUAUUUACUUUUGGGCCAGAGGGAUCUGCUUCACGAAGAGGUCCAACACGCGACAGUGGCUGGCUGAACGCUCUCAACAGAUGUUGGUACUCCACGGUGUUUUCCUUUUGGACUCCGUCAGAGGAGCCCAACUGCUCGCUGGUCCCAGAGCCGUCACCGCUGAUCCGAAGCAAGGAUUCAACACCUGCAAGAGCGGUUGUGAGAUAUAUAAACAGUGACAUUAUUUCUACAAGACUGAUGUUAUUACGUAGAAUUCUGGAUCGGAAUUUAAAAAAACAACUUUAACAGGAAAAGAUCGAAUUGAAAGGGAGGUGAACAAAGGAAUAAUUAUUCCAGUAAUGUCUACGUUCUUGACUGUGCAAAUGUCUGAACCCUGUCAUACAGUUUGCCAUGUUUCUGUUGCUGCCAUUCAAAAGGAUGGCAUGCAGGUCUGUCCUUAGUUGUACCUUCAUUGAGCUGGUCCAGGAGCAUUUCAAUGAACUCAACACGCUGUCGAUAACCUGCCAGAUGUUGCUCAGCUGUCUCUUGCUCGACGGAAGCUUUCUUCCAAAGUGCGUCACGCUGCUCCUCAGCCACAAAGGCCUUUCAGUCAGAGACAUAAUGAAAAACAAACACCAGUCACAAUAACAUUUUCCUCUUCUUUAUCUCCCUCUCUUCUCCAACCAACACACCAACCUGGGAGAUCUUCCUCUGCAUGGCCUCUUCUUCAGUGUGUUGAUAGUUGACAAAAUUCAGCAGCCUGUAUUUCUGCUCCUCCACUAAUGGAAAUCAUGUUUGAUUUUGAUUGCCAAUGACAAUGCCAAACUGCCGUCGCCUCACUGGUUUUCAAUUGGGACUUACUAUCUAUAAAGUUCCUGACCAGUUCUUCCA